GUUAGAGUUAGGGUUAGGUUAGGGUUAGGAUUAGGUUAGGGUUAGGGUUAGGGUUAGGGUUAGGGUUAGGGUUAGGUUAUAUAGAUAAAUGCGAAGAGUGCCUCCCCCCGAAGUGCCUCCCCCCCCUUAUCUCGGGUACCAUAAGUCCUAGAGUGCUGAAACUUGGUGGGUAUACUAAUUAGGGAGUGGGCUUUCGAAUGCACCCAGUGCCGUCUCUCUAGCGCCACCAGGCGCCGAGAUAUGGUACUGCUCCAUUACUUGAGUUUUGGUGUGCUAGGGCUAUGGUUGAGUUUCUUAGUUCCAGCCCUAGAGUCGAGUUUCUCUAUGUGGCUGGUUGUGACUUAGUCAAAUGGGUUUCACUGGCAACUUUACAAAUGGCACUUUAGGGUCUCCAGUCACACGAAUGUUUACAAAUUCAUUGGUUGAUCUAACCAACACUAGCAGCUCAGACGUUGCCAUAAUAACACCCACUACAAGCACAGAUAAUACUACCACUAUUACGACUACUACAGCAAAACCUGCUACUACAGCAGGGAGCAAUGCACUGCAUCAUGCUGCAUCUCAGGCUGCUCUGGUAAUUCUCUCAGGGAUCCUUGCAGUGCUCCUGUUGUAAGGAUUCUGCCAACACAUUUGCUUUCUGAAACUGGUCGAUGAGCACUGAACGCUUGAUGAACCCAACACCAAAGUAUAUGUAAUUCAGCAUAUUUAUAACUGUGCAAUAAUGCGACUCUGGGAACAAUGAAGAAAGAAGCAGAAAAUAUGGGGAAGAGGGCAUUACAUUAUUUAUUUAAUCUUAGUGUUUGUGUGUGAGAGAUUGUGUUUAUGAAUGUUUUUGCGAGCGUUAGUGUUUGUAUUCUGCUAAUGUACUGCUAUUUAAAAUCAGGCUCCUGCACAGAGAGGGCUGAUGAAAAUUAAAAUCAGUAUAUUAAUAUAAUUGUGCAAGUGUGAGCCAUCAUGUGGCUAAAAUGAUCUAAGAUAAUUGUUUUCAAAUGUCUUAAUUUAUUGUUACUGUUGCCUCAAACCAUUGAUUUCCUGUAAGUUAUAAAUAUAGUCUUUUUUUUUUAAUAUGCAUAAUAAAAUAGUUCAAGUAAAAAAAUAGAACUAGGUAGAUCAGUGUUUGGUACGUAAAGGUUAAAAGGUUAGGCGAAAGAAACAAACUAAAAUAGCAAACA
rnacentral:lncRNA from 1 species